rnacentral:tRNA from 1 species
GUGCCCGUAGCUCAGCUGGAUAGAGCAUCUGCCUUCUAAGCAGAGGGCCGUAGGUCCGAAUCCUACCGGGCACGCCA